UUUCCGUUUUAUGCGUCUUAAUUUGUAGGGGUCGAAGCGGCGAGCAAUGGCCGGAGAGGAGCGGGAGGCAGUGGAGAUCACCGUCAAAACGGUCGGCCCCGCCCGACCUACCAGAGUCCGAGUCCCCUCCCCCAUCAAGGUCGCGGAUUUGAGGAGAUUGGUUGCCGCGGAGUUUCGGCUGCCGGCGGAGCGAUUGAAGCUUGUUCUGAGAGGUAAGACCCUUCGGGACAAGAAGGAGAAGAAUGAUGCCGACGAGGAUGUGGUAAUCAAUUUAGAGGGUGGUGAUUCUCUUAUAGUAGCUGUGGUGCCUAAGCCUCCUGCAAGGCAUCUUCGUGAUGGUGAUGAUGAUGAUGAUGAAGAAUUGAAAUUUCAAAUUCCACAGUCAGCAAACUGGUUGAAGAAGAGAAUUUUCUUGUUUCUUCAUCAGAAAUUGAGAUUGCCUGACAUCCUCUUGAUGGCAAUUUUCUCUAUCAGUCUAAAGGCAUGGAUUGGUAUCAUUCUGUGGUUCUUAUUGGCUCCAGUUGCUCAGAAAUGGGAUAUAGGACCCAUCUAUAUACUUGUCACUGGAUUUUUAAUUAUUCUUCUGAAUCUUGGAAAGAGACAACAUGGUGACCUAAGGUACAAACUGGAAGAGCGGCAGACAAAACAUGUUCAUCACUGGACCAUAAAUCUCACUGUAACAAGCUCGUCUUACUCGAUGACAAGAAGUCUUAGAAUUAAACAACUUUGAACUCUGUAUGGAACAGCUUUGUUUGUGCAGUGUGUGGAUAAGUUGCUGAGACAUGUUCAUCAUGGAGUAUCUGAAUGAAUAAAACCAGAGUUUACAUGAAGCUAUAUCAACUUUCUUUACAUGUCAUAGUAGAAACUUUGUGUUCUUAUUUCAAUGUUUCAGAUGGAUUUGUGCAUACUCAAUAUUCAAUGAAGAUUUCCGGGAGCUUCCUGGCACGCUUAAUGCAGAUCGACUGGACAGAGAUAUCAGGGCUGGCCAGUUUUGACCUCUUCGGUACCCUGCCACCCGUAAGUCCAGGGUUUGUUUGUACAUGAGAAGAACUUACAUAUCAGUUGUAUGUUCGAACUGUCUGGUUUUCUUAAAUGAUCUUAACGUCGGAAUUUUAGCAACCAAAGGCAGUCAUCAAUUGAGCUACAAGUGGUUUGAUCAAAGAUGGGAACAGUAAAUGGCAGUUCUGCUGAACUCGACUGUCUCACUAAUAGUUGGAAAUUUCCACCCUGAAAAUUUGUGUGGCCUAUUGAUCCAAGUGAGACAUACAUAGAUCUUACUGUUGGAACAGACUUUAAAGAUUGUGUUUAUCCUGUUCGACUGUUUAUUGAGUGGAGUGUGGAGUUCUUGCA